rnacentral:tRNA from 1 species
GCCCCGGUAGCUCAGCCCGGUCUGGAGCGCCCGCCUUGUAGGCUAACCGAGAGAGCGGGAGGUCCCGGGUUCGAAUCCCGGCCGGGGCUCCA